GUGUUAUAUGAAAGGAGAGAAGGUCAACAUGCUUGCAGUUAAGGCAUUGCCACCUACUCAAUGGCAUCUAGCCAUUGUUUUUU
rnacentral:ncRNA from 1 species